rnacentral:rRNA from 1 species
CGGGGUGCAGCAGGCGCGAAACCUUAGCAAUGUGCGAAAGCACGACUGGGUCAGUCCGAGUGAUUCCUGAUAAAGGAGUCUUUUGCUUGUCCUAAAAGCACAGGUGAAUAAGGGGUGGGCAAGUCUGGUGUCAGCCGCCGCGGUAAUACCAGCACCUCGAGUGGUCAGGACGUUUAUUGGGCCUAAAGCAUCCGUAGCCGGCUCUGCAAGUCUUCGGUUAAAUCCACCUGCUCAACAGAUGGGCUGCUGGAGAUACUACAGAGCUAGGGAGUGGGAGAGGCAGACGGUAUUCAGUGGGUAGGGGUAAAAUCCUCUGAUCCAUUGAGGACCACCAGUGGCGAAGGCGGUCUGCCAGAACACGUUCGACGGUGAGGGAUGAAAGCUGGGGGAGCAAACCGGAUUAGAUACCCGGGUAGUCCCAGCUGUAAACGAUGCAAACUCGGUGAUGCAUUGGCUUAUGGCCAAUGCAGUGCCGCAGGGAAGCCGUUAAGUUUGCCGCCUGGGAAGUACGGACGCAAGUCUGAAACUUAAAGGAAUUGGCGGGGGAGCACAAGGGCGAAUCGCGG